rnacentral:misc_RNA from 1 species
AAGUCGUAACAAGGUCUCCGUAGGUGAACCUGCGGAGGGAUCAUUACACAAAAAAAUAUGAAGGCUGCACGCGGCUGUGUCUCUUUCGGGGGGCCAGCUUUGCGGAGGCUGAAAUAUUUUUCACCCAUGUCUUUUGCGCACUUGUUGUUUCCUGGGCGGGUUUCGCCCGCCACCAGGACCACACCAUAAACCUUUUUUAUGCAGUUGCAAUCAGCGUCAGUAUAACAAAUGUAAAUCAUUUACAACUUUCAACAACGGAUCUCUUGGUUCUG